rnacentral:rRNA from 1 species
GGUCAAGCGAAUAAGCGCACACGGUGGAUGCCUUGGCGGUCAGAGGCGAUGAAGGACGUGGCAGCCUGCGAAAAGUAUCGGGGAGCUGGCAACAAGCUUUGAUCCGGUAAUGUCCGAAUGGGGAAACCCACCCGCUUGCGGGUAUCCUGCAGUGAAUACAUAGCUGCUGGAAGCGAACCUGGUGAACUGAAAUAUCUAAGUAACCAGAGGAAAAGAAAUCAACCGAGAUUCCGUAAGUAGCGACGAGCGAACGCGGACUAGCCCUUAAGCUGGAUUGGUUCUAGGAAAACACUCUGGAAAGAGUGGCCAUAGAAGGUGAUAGCCCUGUAUCUGAAAGGGCCAUUCCAGUGAAGACGAGUAGGGCGGGGCACGUGAAACCCUGUCUGAACAUGGCGGGACCAUCCUCCAAGGCUAAAUACUACUGACCCGACCGAUAGUGAACCAGUACCCGUGAGGGAAAGGCGAAAAGAACCCCGGAGAGGGGAGUGAAAUAGAACCUGAAACCGUGUGCGUCAAGCAGUAGGAGCUCCGCAAGGAGUGACUGCGUACCUUUUGUAUAAUGGGUCAGCGACUUACUGUUCGUGGCAAGCUUAACCGUAUAGGGGAGGCGAAGGGAAACCGAGUCUGAUAAGGGCGCAUAGUCGCGGGCAGUAGACCCGAAACCGGGUGAUCUAGUCAUGCCCAGGGUGAAGGUGCGGUAACACGCACUGGAGGCCCGAACCCACUCCCGUUGCAAAGGUAGGGGAUGAGGUGUGAUUAGGAGUGAAAAGCUAAUCGAACCCGGAGAUAGCUGGUUCUCCUCGACAGCUAUUUAGGUAGCGCCUCAUAUGUAUCCUCUCGGGGGUAGAGCACUGUUAUGGCUAGGGGGUCAUCGCGACUUACCAAACCCAUUGCAAACUCCGAAUACCGAGACGGACUGUAUGGGAGACACACGGCGGGUGCUAACGUCCGUCGUGAAAAGGGAAACAACCCAGACCCACAGCUAAGGUCCCAAAUUCACUGCUAAGUGGAAAACCAUGUGGAAAGGCACAGACAGCCAGGAGGUUGGCUUAGAAGCAGCCACCCUUUAAAGAAAGCGUAAUAGCUCACUGGUCGAGUCGGUCUGCGGGGAAGAUUUAACGGGGCUAAGCAGUGAACCGAAGCUUGGGGUGCAUAACUUUGUUAUGCGCGGUAGAGGAGCGUUCCGUAAGCCGUUGAAGGUGGAUUGAGAAGUCUGCUGGAGGUAUCGGAAGUGCGAAUGCUGACAUGAGUAACGAUAAUGCGGGUGAAAAACCCGCACGCCGAAAGCCCAAGGUUUCCUUGCGCAACGUUAAUCGGCGCAGGGUGAGUCGGCCCCUAAGGCGAGGACGAAAGUCGUAGUCGAUGGGAAGCAGGUCAAUAUUC